UACGGGGGGGGGCAAGCGUUGUUCGGAAUUACUGGGCGUAAAGCGCACGUAGGCGGCUUAGCAAGUCGGAAGUGAAAGCCCUCGGCUCAACCAAGGAAGUGCUUUCGAAACUGCUGAGCUUGAGUAGUUAAGAGGAUCGCGGAAUUCCCGGUGUAGCGGUGAAAUGCGCAGAUAUCGGGAGGAACACCGGUGGCGAAGGCGGUUCUCUGGGCCGAUACUGACGCUGAGGAGCGAAAGCGUGGGGAGCGAACAGG
rnacentral:rRNA from 1 species